GCUAUGCCAAGGCUGCCUCGUCUUGAGGACAGUGUUGUGUGUGUCCCCAUUUGCUCUUAUAAUACUGGCCCGAAUAUAGUGGUAUUCUGAUGUCCUAGAAAGUCAAGAAGUCACAUAUCGUGUGACCUAUAAUAUAUCUCAUAUAAAAUUCCCAUAAAGAGAGAAAUUUGAGUUACCAGAGGUCAUGGCAGGCAGAAAAAAGCGUUUGGGAUGUGGUUGAGAGAAGGAAACCACUGUGUAUGAGACUGUGUUUGAUGGAGAAGCCAUUGAUCCAGUCUCUGGAAAUGUAUAUGCAUACAACAGCAGAACAGGUGCAAGAAAAUGGAAGACACUUGGAAACCAGGAAGAGUCCUUUGGGCGCAUAUACUUCCUCUCAGAAGCCAGUCCCUUGGAGGAGUCAAAACCCUUGAAAACUCCCCUGCAAUAAUAGUUCUCUGAGUGAUGGCAUUUUUGUGGGUGUUACUGGCAUGUAUAACUAAAUUUAAGCUGUAGACCUGAGUUCAGCUGCUGGGUGGAUAUUAUGUUCAUAUUCUUAUUCUAGCUGUUCUAGAAUCAGCUAGUUCUGGUGGAGGGCAAUAAGAGAUACCAUUUUUAAGUCUAUGGCUAUGUUUUGCUGAAAGUAGAAACUAAAUCUGUAUACAUCC